rnacentral:rRNA from 1 species
GACAUAGGUGGCGAACGUUGUCCGGAAUUACUGGGCGUAAAGAGCUCGUAGGUGGUUUGUCGCGUUGUUCGUGAAAACUCACAGCUCAACUGUGGGCGUGCGGGCGAUACGGGCAGACUUGAGUACUGCAGGGGAGACUGGAAUUCCUGGUGUAGCGGUGGAAUGCGCAGAUAUCAGGAGGAACACCCGUGGCGAAGGCGGCUGGCUGGACCGCAACUGACGCUGAGGAACGAAAGCUAGGGGAGCAAACAGG